rnacentral:ncRNA from 3 species
AAAAGACAACAGGGGUGCUGUUUUUAUUAAAAAUGGCUGAGAAGUGACCCUUUGUACCUGAUCUAAGUAAUAUUAGCGUAGGGAGUUUGUUUGGUUAUCUUU